AGAGUUUGAUCCUGGCUCAGGAUGAACGCUAGCUACAGGCUUAACACAUGCAAGUCGAGGGGCAGCAUGGUUUCAGCUUGCUGAGACUGAUGGCGACCGGCGCACGGGUGAGUAACGCGUAUCCAACCUGCCCUUUACUCCGGGAUAGUCUCCUGAAAGGGAGUUUAAUACCGGAUGUGUUUGUCUUUCCGCAUGGGAGCGACAAAUAAAGAUUAAUUGGUAAAGGAUGGGGAUGCGUCCCAUUAGCUAGUUGGCGGGGUAACGGCCCACCAAGGCGACGAUGGGUAGGGGUUCUGAGAGGAAGGUCCCCCACAUUGGAACUGAGACACGGUCCAAACUCCUACGGGAGGCAGCAGUGAGGAAUAUUGGUCAAUGGGCGGGAGCCUGAACCAGCCAAGUAGCGUGAAGGACGACGGCCCUACGGGUUGUAAACUUCUUUUAUAAGGGAAUAAAGUGCGUUACGUGUAAUGUUUUGUAUGUACCUUAUGAAUAAGCAUCGGCUAAUUCCGUGCCAGCAGCCGCGGUAAUACGGAAGAUGCGAGCGUUAUCCGGAUUUAUUGGGUUUAAAGGGAGCGUAGGCGGGCUUUUAAGUCAGCGGUCAAAUGUCACGGCUCAACCGUGGCCAGCCGUUGAAACUGCAAGCCUUGAGUCUGCACAGGGCACAUGGAAUUCGUGGUGUAGCGGUGAAAUGCUUAGAUAUCACGAAGAACUCCGAUCGCGAAGGCAUUGUGCCGGGGCAUAACUGACGCUGAGGCUCGAAAGUGCGGGUAUCAAACAGGAUUAGAUACCCUGGUAGUCCGCACGGUAAACGAUGAAUGCUCGCUAUGGGCGAUAUAUUGUCCGUGGCCAAGCGAAAGCGUUAAGCAUUCCACCUGGGGAGUACGCCGGCAACGGUGAAACUCAAAGGAAUUGACGGGGGCCCGCACAAGCGGAGGAACAUGUG
rnacentral:rRNA from 1 species